rnacentral:rRNA from 1 species
UACGUAGGGUCCAAGCGUUAUCCGGAAUUACUGGGCGUAAAGAGUUGCGUAGGUGGCAUGUUAAGCGGGUAGUGAAAUGACGAGGCUCAACCUCGUGUCCAUUACCUGAACUGGCAAGCUAGAGAAUAUGAGAGGUAGCUGGAAUUCCCUGUGUAGGAGUGAAAUCCGUAGAUAUAGGGAGGAACACCGAUGGCGUAGGCAGGCUACUGGCAUAUUUCUGACACUAAGGCACGAAAGCGUGGGGAGCAAACGGG